UGGCCCAGAUCGUUUACCGUGAAAAAAUUAGAGUGUUCAAAGCAGGCAGAUCCAAUUUUCUGCCACCGAAUACAUUAGCAUGGGAUAAUGGAAUAGGACCCUGUCCUCCUAUUUUCAGUUGGUUUUGGCAGCGCGAGGACUAGGGUAAUGAUUAAUAGGGAUAGUUGGGGGCAUUAAUAUUUAAUUGUCAGAGGUGAAAUUCUUGGAUUUAUGAAAGAUUAACUUCUGCGAAAGCAUCUGCCAAGGAUGUUUUCAUUAAUCAAGAACGAAAGUUAGGGGAUCGAAGACGAUCAGAUACCGUCGUAGUCUUAACCAUAAACGAUGCCGACCAGCGAUUAGGAGACGUUGAAUACAAAACACCACCAUCGGUGCGGUCGUCCUUGGCGUUGGUCUUCAAAAGCCAGCGCGGGGGUGGCUAGCCCC
rnacentral:rRNA from 1 species